rnacentral:lncRNA from 1 species
UCUGUAGAAGGACAUACACUCUAGCGAAUAGUAUACAUUUAAAUCAGAUAUAAAUUUGGUCUGCAUCAAAGAAAACUAAACACUAAGGUGAGAAUAUGAAGAAAGAAAGAAAAAGAUUGAGGUUAUUGAAUAUGAUACACUUGAUAUCUAAAAUUAAAUUAAUGUUUAAAAAUAGAGCCUUUUUAUAACACUAUACUAAAAUUAAUUCCAGACAUGUUGAAAGUCAAAUAGAGGAAACAAAGCCAUGAAAAUGUAAGAUUAGGGAGAUGGCUAAGUCAGUAAGGUGGUUGGCACACUCUGAGAUUGCAUCCUCAGUGUCCAGGUACACGCCCCCAUGCAAAGCGGUGCGCCCUUGCCAUCCUAGAGCUGGGGAGGCUGUUCACUGGAUCUCAGUAGCCAGCCAGUCUAGAUGAGUUGCUGAGCUCAGGAUCAGUGAGAGAUCUCAUCUCAGAAAAAAAAAAAUCAGAGAGUAACAGAGGAACAUGAGCAAAGUUGACAUCUGCCCAUGUGCAUACAAGCAUGCACACAUACACUACACACACACAUGCACACACGUAUACAAUCACUGUAUACACACACAUACAAAGGUAAAUACGAAUAUGAACACACAAGUGAUGUACAGCCUCUAGAAAUGGAGAUCUCUCUGAGUCUAUACCAAAUGUAGAAACCAUGAAGAAUUUCUUAAUUCUUAAAUUUUUAUUGUAUUUCUUACUUAUGUAUCUAUAAAUUCCUUGCGUGUGUGGAGCCCACAGAGACUAGAAGGUGGCUUUGGGUCCCCUGGAGGUUGGGUCACCUCAGGAGGGUGCUGUGCACUGAACGCAGGCCCUCUACCAGAACAGCUGCUUCUCCUAGCUCUCAGGCCAUCUCUCCAGUCCUUCAUAAAAGAGUUCUUAAAGGACUGCAUACAGAAAUGCUAAAUGCCCUAGAUCAUCACGAAUGAAAUUGAAAGACAAACUGGAAACCAAGGGAAAUUUACAACAUAGAUGACUAUGUCUAGUGUACUUCAAAUAUAAAUAGCUUCCCCAAAUCUAU